UUCCCAAGUUGUGACAAACGGACCAGUUCGUAGCUGGAUUCUUCACCGAUCUUUUAUACUUUCUCCGGAACAUGAAAUUUGUUCGUACCUCAAGUUCUGUGAGGUGGAAGGAUUUCCUUUGUUCUCCAUGAAAAACUACUCUCUAUAACUAUGUGUCCAUGAGGUCUUCUCAGGAAUUUACGACCUCUGACCACAGCAGCCUAGUUGAAGGAGGCAAGGGGGAGGCAGGGAGAGGGGGAUGGGCUUGCUAUACCCAAAGAGGCCAACGUCAUGACACAGGGAAGGUAGAAAGAAUUGGGAGGGAUGAGUAGACCUAUGUGGUUUCCGGUAUGUCUUUUGCCCACAGCCCUAGAGCCAAUUGAGCUGGCAGCUGAGCAGCCCGCAGCACCAGGGUUAGCCCCAGAAGCAGAUGAGGUAGAGGAGAAACAAGCCCCAGUUAGACGCUCUGCAAAACAAACUAGAGCCCUUAUAAAAAGAGACUAUCAGACACACCCGAGGGCUCUUGGAUUUGGGGGUGGAAACCCUGUCGACCGCCUCCUUCCUGGCAGGCAGCCACCACUUGCAGCAGCGUGUCAUCUUCUACAGUCAGUCCGACAGGUCCAGACAACCAACAACUCUGGAAGUCCUACUCUUCUGUUUGUGAUGGGCUUGUCUUCUUUUAUGAAAAGGGAAGUAAAAAUAAUCACACAAGUUGGUGUGAAUGUGAUCCAACGAUUGGUUAAGAUGGUGGUACUGAGGACCCCUGUCUGUAUCCCUGACCUGUACAGAUUGUUCCCUAGACUGGGUGGUGUACUUGUUGGUGAUUUGGAAGGUGACACCGGAGACCGAGAGGGGAUUGAGGCAAGACGUAGGUGAUGAGGCAUCUCUGAAGGACGGAUCCUUCAAAGUGCACCUGAACAGUAUCUGCAUGCAGUGAGGGCUCGAGGAAGCUUGUGACUGGAGAAAAAAACAGGACUGGAGUCUGCCAAAUGAAAUAUUCUCUAGCCGCUCCCAAAUGACUGGACUGAGUUUUUAGUUCCCACACCCCGGCAGAUUCGGUCGCAAACCCUGGAACAGCUCAUAAUGGACUAGACUGGGUUCUAUGUUAAAAGAGAUUUUAUUAUUAUCAUUUGUAUUUAAAAUAAACAUUGUAAUUUUCUACUUUCCUCUGACCCUCUGAUGUCUGUGUUGGUGUGGCCCAGGAUCCUUGAACCUCUAAUUCAGGGCUCUCCAACCCUGUUCCUGGAGGGUUGCUGUGCUGUAG